rnacentral:rRNA from 1 species
GCCUGCCCUGUGACCCCAAGUUUAACGGCCGCGGUAUCCUGACCGUGCAAAGGUAGCGCAAUCACUUGUCCCUUAAAUGAGGACCUGUAUGAAUGGCAUAACGAGGGCUUAACUGUCUCCUUUCCCCAGCCAAUGAAAUUGAUCUUCCCGUGCAGAAGCGGGAAUACUAACAUAAGACGAGAAGACCCUAUGGAGCUUUAGGCACUAGGACAGACCAUGUCAGCUACCCCCACAAAGAAGUAGUAAUAAUUGAACCCCUGUUCUCCGUCUUCGGUUGGGGCGACCACGGGGAAUAAAAAAACCCCCACGUGGAUCGGGAGUACACCACUCCUAUAACCACGAGCCACCGCUCUAAAUAACAGAAUUUCUGACCAAAAAGAUCCGGCAACGCCGAUCAACGGACCCAGUUACCCUAGGGAUAACAGCGCAAUCCUCUUCAAGAGUCCAUAUCGAC